rnacentral:rRNA from 1 species
AGAGUUUGAUCCUGGCUCAGGACGAACGCUGGCGGCAUGCCUAACACAUGCAAGUCGAACGAGAAAGUUCCUUCGGGAGCAAUUAAAGUGGCGCACGGGUGAGUAACGCGUAGACAAUCUGCCCUUCAGUCUGGGACAACUUUUCGAAAGGAGAGCUAAUACCGGAUAACAAUGCAUGACACAAGUUGUAUAUUUGAAAGCUUUAUGUGCUGAAGGAGGGGUCUGCGUCCCAUUAGCUAGUUGGUAAGGUAAAGGCUUACCAAGGCAACGAUGGGUAGCGGGUUUGAGAGGACGAUCCGCCACACUGGAACUGAGACACGGUCCAGACUCCUACGGGAGGCAGCAGUGGGGAAUAUUGCACAAUGGAGGAAACUCUGAUGCAGCAACGCCGCGUGGAGGAUGACGCAUUUCGGUGUGUAAACUCCUUUUAUAUGUCAAGAAAAUGACGGUAGCAUAUGAAUAAGCACCGGCUAACUCCGUGCCAGCAGCCGCGGUAAUACGGAGGGUGCAAGCGUUACUCGGAAUCACUGGGCGUAAAGGACGCGUAGGCGGGAUGCCAAGUCUGAUGUGAAAUCCUAUGGCUUAACCAUAGAACUGCAUUGGAAACUGGUUACCUAGAGUAUGGGAGGGGGAGAUGGAAUUAGUGGUGUAGGGGUAAAAUCCGUAGAUAUCACUAGGAAUACCGAAAGCGAAGGCGAUCUCCUGGAACAAUACUGACGCUAAGGCGUGAAAGCGUGGGGAGCAAACGGGAUUAGAUACCCCGGUAGUCCACGCCCUAAACGAUGAACACUAGUCGUCGGGAUGCUAGUCAUCUCGGUGAUGCACUUAACAGAUUAAGUGUUCCGCCUGGGGAGUACGGUCGCAAGAUUAAAACUCAAAGGAAUAGACGGGGACCCGCACAAGUGGUGGAGCAUGUGGUUUAAUUCGAAGAUACGCGAAGAACCUUACCUAGCCUUGACAUUGAUUGAAUUUUGUAGAGAUACAGAAGUGCCUUUUGGGGAACAUGAAAACAGGUGCUGCACGGCUGUCGUCAGCUCGUGUCGUGAGAUGUUGGGUUAAGUCCCGCAACGAGCGCAA